CGAAACGUCACCUAUUCCUUCGCUCCAUAGAUGCUGCCUCACCCGGUGAGUUUCUCCAGCAUUUAUGUCUACCUUCGAUUUUUUCAGCAUCUGCAGUUCUUUCUUAAACAGUAACUUCUCCAUGGUUGCUCCUGCAUAUUGGAGUUUGGAGAUUACAGAGCCAUGAUGAAGAGAAUGCAGAGGACUGAUCUAUAGGCUUCUUCCUGAAUCCGGUCACACUGGGCAAGAAAGCAGCAACAACUCUAGUCUACCACAGUCAGGCCAGGCAAAACAUCCCCAGUCGGGAGGAUCGAAGCCCCUGCAGCCAGCGGUCGAAGCCCUCGCAUCGGGGCGAUCGAAGCUCCUGUGUCAGCGUGAUCGAAGCUCCCGCGUCAGGGCGGUCUAAGUUCCAGCGGCUUGGAGCUUCCGAAGUUGGUCUCCGACCAGAUACAGCGAGCUCUGCAAUGUUAAAGUCCUCAGGCGCCCGUGUUUGGAGCGCAGGGGUCGAUCCUUGGCAAAGGGAUUGCGGCCUGUGGUAAGUCCUGCAGCCUCCUGUGGUGAAGCUCCUGAAGUCGGUCUCCAGCAAAGGCCGCCAACUCCGCGAUGUUAGGCCGCAGUGCGGACGGGGAUACGAUAUGGAAAAUAAAUUGCAUCUCCGGCAAGAGGCCAGCUUGGAGAAUUGCUGGCGUGAAUGAAGACGAACCUGGUGGGCUGCCCGCAGCCACGUGCAGAGGCAGGCCCGGCUUGCCGCUGCAAAUAAGGACCCGGUGGGCCGCUGCCUGCAGGAGAAGCUCGGAUGCUCGCAUGGCCCCCAAGACUGGUCGAAGAGGAGAGAGUCACUGGCGAUAACGGAUGUGAGGACUGGGUCGGUAGGAGAGGUCAUAAGGUCAUAAGGAAUAGGAGUAGAAUGAAGCCAUUCAGCACAUCAAGUAUACUCCACCAUUCAAUCAUGGCUGAUCUAUCUCUCCCUCCUAACCCCAUUCUCUUAUCUUCUCUACAUAACCUCUGACACUUGAGAGGGACUGGUUAUUGCCUCCGAUGCUUUCAAGGUUGGCUGUGGGAGGCACCCACGGGACACAAAGGUCAGGUGAGGAGAGAGACGUUGGUUCGGGGGUCGCACCAGUUGAGGGCGACGGAGGAGGCCCUGCAGCAGACUGGGGCUUAUCUGGGCUUACUUGGACCAGGGUCGCUCUGGUACAUUCAACAUGCGGACUUUGGAUAUUUUAAUUUUGUAAAUGGCGCCAAAAUAUGGUGACUGGGCAUGUGUGGGCUAUGCAAUGCUAUCUGUCUCACCUCUAUGUGUUUGACUUUGAGUUUCUAUGGAAACUGGAGCAGCCCAGAAGUUUGCCUGACAUAACCCAAGUACUAUUGAGUCAAACCUCUUUAAGACCACAUCCACCCAAUCGUGGGGUUGAGCGGCCUUGAGAAUUUUAUAAUGCUGUUGUGUUUAGGAGUGCUACAUCAGUUUAAAGCUGACAAGGUCAUCUCUUCAUCCAUUUGCAUUGGGUUCCCAAUUUGUGCUGCCACAUUAGAAAGUUUACAAGUACAAUUGAAAAUAGUUUGCCAAACAAUCUUUGUGAACUGUGUGUCUCAAUAACAUAAACUGUGCUAUAAAUCUAAAAUGUGUUUCCACCACUGGUCCUAGCUUUACAUCAUACUAAAAGAAUUCUUUGCUCAAAGGGACGGAAAUUUAUUGUAACACAGAGCAGUGACGCCUGGCCAAUAACUUCUCUCAGUCAUAUCUUACUGAAGCAAACUUGAUCCAUAGAAAUGUUUGGCAAAGGUAGAGCUUUGUUCGAGCUUUCAAUAUGAAAAAUAAAUCAGGGAGACAAUGACCCAGUUAGCAGCGGCUGGUGAUAAAUACAGAGACGCAGUGUCAAUUGCACAUAAUCUCAGGUUCCUCUUUGAUAUAAAUAUUCACAGCUCUGAGUGCAACUCUGUACACACAUACACAGGGUGUGGGUGACCAGACUGGAGCUUGUGGAACUUGAAACUUCAAGGAGUGACAGAAUACUGAGCCAAAACUCUUACAGGCUCCAGAAACAUUCCAGAACACAUUUCAGUUCAUUGGUGGUGAGCUGUGGCCCAGUCCAUAUCACUCUUAGAACACAAAAUGAAUGAAUGAAAACUUUAUUGUCAUUCAGAUAUACACCUAGACACAGUGCACCUUGAACGAAAUUUCGUUGCAUUUGACUCUCCAAAAUCAGUUAAAAGUUAAAAGUUCCAGGUGCGUCCAUAAAAAUGCGUCAUGCGCAUGGUUCUGUAAAAUAAAUAUAUAUUAAAAGUUUUUAAAAGUGACGAUAUUUAAAAAGUUCUAGCCUCGGUUUUUUGAUUGUUCAGUAAUCUUAUGGCCUGGGGGAUGAAGCUGUUGCAGAACCUGGUUGUCCCGCUCUUCAUGCUGCGGUACCUCCUCCCAGAG